rnacentral:misc_RNA from 1 species
GAGCUGCAUCUCCCCUACCCAAGAGAGCUGCUUCUCCGCUGCCCAAGAGAGCUACUUCUCCUAGUUCAGCUGGAGCAGGCAGGAAGGUUCGCACCCGGUCACCACCACCCAAACGAGCUACUACUCCGAGAAAAACAUCUCCAGUUCUCGAGUCUGUGGUUCUUCACAUUGAUCAUCUGUCAAGAAAUGUCAGUGAAGGCCAUCUAAAAGAGAUAUUCAG